GGGUGGUCCUGGCAGCUCGUUUCAAUAAGCAUAAUGAGAGGGACUCCCCUAAGCGCCGCCACCACGACGGGGCAAUGCUGGAGAGGACGAGGUCAUAAAUGUGGUGUCAGCCCCGUCUGCUUCAGGGUGGACACGGCUUGGUGGUCGCUCCGUAUCCAUGGCGUCGUCAUGCCCAACAGCCUCACGUCGUGGGGGCAUCUGUUGCAGGAGCAUUUCUGGGAUGGGAAUAUGAUGUGGGAUGCAUGAAGUUUACUUAUACUACUUUGUGGAGUUCACUUCUCCUAUUCUUGAUGUUCAUGUAUCCUGAUGCUUCACUUUAGAUUUUCCCUGCUAGAUGGAUUUUCAUUUGAGUCUGCUAGAUGAAUUAUUCCUGAAGUUCAAUUCCAAUGUUUGUGCUGCGGGGUGGAUGAUUUCUA